AACGAACGCUGGCGGCAUGCCUAACACAUGCAAGUCGAACGAGACCUUCGGGUCUAGUGGCGCACGGGUGCGUAACGCGUGGGAACCUGCCCUUAGGUUCGGAAUAACUCCCCGAAAGGGGUGCUAAUACCGGAUAAUGUCUUCGGACCAAAGAUUUAUCGCCUUUGGAUGGGCCCGCGUUGGAUUAGCUAGUUGGUAGGGUAAAAGCCUACCAAGGCGACGAUCCAUAGCUGGUCUGAGAGGAUGAUCAGCCACACUGGGACUGAGGCACGGCCCAGACUCCUACGGGAGGCAGCAGGGGGGAAUAUUGGACAAUGGGCGAAAGCCUGAUCCAGCAAUGCCGCGUGAGUGAUGAAGGCCUUAGGGUUGUAAAGCUCUUUUACCCGGGAUGAUAAUGACAGUACCGGGAGAAUAAGCUCCGGCUAACUCCGUG
rnacentral:rRNA from 1 species